UGCCAGCCGCCGCGGUAGUACGGAGGGUGCAAGCGUUGUCCGGAUUUAUUGGGUUUAAAGGGUGCGUAGGUGGCGUGUUAAGUCAGUGGUGAAAGCCUGCAGCUCAACUGUAGAGGUGCCAUUGAUACUGACAUGCUUGAGUAUGGACGAGGUAAGCGGAAUUUGUGGUGUAGCGGUGAAAUGCAUAGAUACCACAAGGAACACCGAUAGCGAAGGCAGCUUACUGGACCAUAACUGACACUGAGGCGCGAAAGCGUGGGGAGCGAACAGGAUUAGAUA
rnacentral:rRNA from 1 species